CACUUCUAUGGAUGUCCACCGUAGGCACUUCCCGAACCACUUCCUGAGCCACUACCAUAUCCGCUGCCGCCUGGACCACUCUGUCCACCACCGCCGCCGCCACCUUGGCCACCAGCCUGAGCAUAUCCACCGCCAUACGGUCCAUACCCUCCGGCUUGACCGUACCCUGAACCAGAGCCGGAACCAUAUCCAGAUCCACCAUUUUGUCCACCACCGCCACCCUGGCCACCACCUCCUCCCUGAGCAUACCCACCACCAUAUGGUCCAGACCCACCAGCUUGCCCAUACCCAGACCCAGAACCGGAACCAUAUCCGGAACCACCAUUCUCUCCACCGCCUCCACCGCCUCCUUCUCCACCUCCACUAGCAUAUGAUCCAUCACCGCCCGCCUGGCCAUAUCCUGAGCCAGAGCCAGAUCCCCAGCCGGAACCACCGUCCGACCCACCACCUCCUCCCUCGCCGCUACCGCCACCCCCAGCACUAGCAUAUCUAGCUACCCUGCUAGCAUUGGCUAGUCCAACGCUUAGGAGGACAACGAAGCUAAGAGCCACAAGCUUACCCAUUGUGAUUGAUCUAGCGAGAAGCUAGUGAAGGAUGAGAUGAAUUCGAAGUGAUGGGGCUCGUCAGUAUUUAUAGCACCGGAAGGCAUGCAAAGCUAGCUGUGUCUUGCAGUUAAGAUGCCACUUGAUCUCUGAUCAAUUACAAGAUGAUGACUGGCUGACUGCUAAGUCUAGUUUGGCAGGAAAAAGAUUACAGCGGAAUUAGAUGGAUUAUGACUUUCGAUGGCUAUCAGGUAUGCUGUUUUCUUCUCUCUUUUGAGUAGGCCAGGAUAUAAUUUGGCUAACUCUAGGUCAUGCAGAGAAACAUGCAUAUACCGUGUACUCUUAAUCCAGGUAUGUGAGCAUCCAAGAGGCAAAAUUUAGCAGCACAUAUUGGAUUGUAGCUAUUGCAACACACCAGGCAUCCUCAAGUCCACAAUGGCUAGUACUACUACAUUAUUGUCAUAAAGUGAGUCACCCAUUUCCACAUAUUAAUUAAUUAAUAAGUUGAUGAGAGGUAUUGUGAUAUAUAUAUAGGGACAAUGUUUGCAUUUAUAUAUACAUGCAGGAUGCAUAUAUAAGUUAACUGAAUGUAUAACCUCAUUUCGUCUAAUUAAUGACGUCUAACCAAUAACAAGAUAUGCCGGCCCAGUCUUCCGGAGGUGCUCAUAGGAGUAGGGUGUGCGUGUGUGCGUUCAUAGGGGUGAGUGUGCGCACGUUGUGAGCGCCUGCGUUUAUACUGUGUUUCUCAAAAAAUAUAUAUAUAUAUUCUUGCAUAUUAAUGCACCCGAUAUGUAUGUUGGUCAUAUUAUAAUUUCAAGUAUCUUAGGUACUCCUAUAUUGAUCUCAGAUAAAAAAAAGUAUGUAUUUAAAACCAAUUAAUAGUGACCGAAAGCGUAUUGGAAUGCAAAUAUAUUGGUCAUCAUAUCUAUAUAUAAUUUGAUAAACUAUAUAUUGAGCAGAAUAAACUGAACUAGCUAGUGUCUGUAAACUACUACAAAUACGACCUAAAAAACAGCGGAUCGAGAAUAAGCAUAUGUGUUCGUCAAAUUAAUUGAAUGCGAAGUGUCGAGUUGGCUCAUGAUCGAACUUCUAGUACGUGUAGCCGCGUAGUGUAGGAGACCAUACAAAGCUAGGUGUAGAGCGAAGUGACAUUUUGGGUCACUUGUUUAAUUUAGUUAAUUUAUCCAAACAAUCAGUGUUCUCAUUGAGAAAAUAUCAGGUCGGCAAGGCACGACUGUUAGGCCAGUUAGGACAACUUUUUUUCCCUUUUAUGAUUAGGCUUUGCCUAAUACGCCUCCCAUGCAUGGUCAGGGAAAGUAUACAUAUAGUAGUAUAUAUGAAAACCACGCGUACUCUAAGUGAGGAAAUGCUAGCUGGUGCCAAACUGCAUAUGCAUGCCAACCUUGGAUGACAUGGAUCAAGUGGCGCCGCAGGCAUGCACUCCCUCCGUCCAAAAAUUAAUACUACCUCUGUUUCAUAUUAUAAGUCGUUUUAAUUUUUCUUCCUAGUAAAACAUUUUCAAGUUUGAACCAAUUUAUAAAAUACCUAGCAACAUCUAUAACACAAAAUAAUUUUCAUUAAGUCUAACAUUGAAUAUAUUUUGAUGAUACAUUUAUUUUGUAUUGAAAAUACUACUAACUUUUUUAUAAACUUGGUCAUACUUAAAAAUAUUUGACUUAAAAAAAAGUCAAAGUGACUUAUAAUAUAUAAAAAGGAGGGAGUAUUAACUUCUAGCUACAAAUUAAAAAAAUAAAUUGUUUUCUGUUUUAAUAUCAGCAAGGACAAUGUAAAUAAAUAUCAAUGCAUUAAUUUUUGGUAAUAAAUUGUCCGGGUGCUUCGGACACUUCAAACAGUUUGUGUCUCGCCCACAGCCUAACUACCAGCCUGUAGAAUAGAAAACAUGUGGUAGUAGAUCAAAAUACGCCUUAUUAUUUCAAAUAGCCGGAUUUACUCGUGCUUCUAUAACAAGCUAUACAGACAAUUAAAAUCUCUCUUUCCCACCCGUAUCUCUCUCUUCCUUCCCACCAUCCCUCUCUCCCUUCCUUUCCUACCUUUGCUCCUACCUUUUGACUCUCUAGUGAGGCAUCACUGUAACAAGCUUAGGUGUCAUCUUUACCUCGGAUUGGGAUCCUCUAACUUAAGCUCACUUUGAGACACUGACAUGUGGCCCCUCUUUACUAUAGACCCAGAUGUCAAUGACCCCAAAAGUCACCUGACUUAAGUCAGAGGAUCUCAUUCCCUUCACCUAGGAGGUGCAGAUUUACACCAGCCAAAACAAGGAAUUAAUACUAAUCAAUGAACCAAACACUAGCAAAAUAGUUAAUUUCUAAAAGGCAUGUUUUGGCUUCAAACCGAAAUGGUCCUCAGUGUGGUUCGAUCGUGAAUUAUCAUGCAUUUGGAAUAACAUAUUGAUCAAACAUUCAAUUACACCAAGAGCUUACAACCGCAUUGUGGUGCACAACACCACUCUAAUUAUUACAUUCAGUGAAGCCCUUUAUUUCUUAUUAUCCAAGUAAAAAUAACAGUAAUAUAUCUGUCCAACCCAGCUUUCAAUAUAGAAGCUCUGCUAAUGUUGGUGGAACACUACUAUGGGUGUCCACCAUAAGCACUUCCAGAACCACUUCCAGAACCGCUGCCAUACCCGCUACCACCUGGACCACUUUGUCCACCACCACCGCCACCACCUUGGCCACCAGCUUGAGCAUAACCACCACCAUAUGGCCCAUAUCCCCCGGCUUGACCAUAUCCAGAUCCAGAGCCAGAACCAUAUCCAGAUCCACCAUUCUGCCCGCCGCCGCCACCUUGGCCACCACCCCCUCCUUGAGCAUAUCCUCCACCAUAAGGUCCAUACCCACCGGCUUGUCCAUACCCAGAUCCAGAACCAGAACCAUAUCCGGAUCCACCAUUCUGCCCACCUCCACCACCACCACCACCUCCGUCUCCACUAGCAUACGAUCCAUCACCACUUGCCUGGCCAUACCCUGAGCCAG
rnacentral:lncRNA from 1 species